rnacentral:rRNA from 1 species
AAACCGCCCAGAGGUAAACGGGUGGAUCCGCAAAUUCGGCCCGCGGAAUUCAGCGCGGCGCGCGGCAUCGGGCUGCUGCGGUUCGGGAUCCCUGGGACCCGGCCGCGGUGCCGCACGGGGCUCCGCUGCGUGCACUUUCCGCGGGCAGAGAGCCACAACCGGUUUGGGAAAUCCGGCGGCCACAAGCUUCGGGGGCUGUAGGUGGGGACGCUCGCGUCCCUACCAGCCCCAGUUGUCGAGCCGCCCCUGGACCGAGGGACCGCCGCGUGCUUCGAGGCCACCCUCCCUUCCUGGCGAGUACGACUGGGAGAGACUGGGCAACCGUGUCUCCCGACCGCUCGUCGGCGAUCGGCGUGGGGCUGGCCGGGCACGCAUUGACAGGGUUGGUGGCAAACCUGUCGGCAUUCCACCCGACCCGUCUUGAA